UUUAAUUCGAAGCAACGCGAAGAACCUUACCAAAUCUUGACAUCCUCUGACAACUCUGGAGACAGAGCGUUCCCCUUCGGGGGACAGAGUGACAGGUGGUGCAUGGUUGUCGCCAGCUCGUGUCGUGAGAUGUUGGGUUAAGUCCCGCAACGAGCGCAACCCUUAUCUUUAGUUGCCAUCAUUCAGUUGGGCACUCUAGAGAGACUGCCGGUGACAAACCGGAGGAAAGUGGGGAUGACGUCAAAUCAUCAUGCCCCUUAUGAUUUGGGCUACACACGUGCUACAAUGGAUGGUACAAAGGGCAGCAAAACCGCGAGGUCAAGCAAAUCCCAUAAAACCAUUCUCAGUUCGGAUUGUAGUCUGCAACUCGACUACAUGAAGCUGGAAUCGCUAGUAAUCGUAGAUCAGCAUGCUA
rnacentral:rRNA from 1 species